AACCUCGCAUCUUUCAUCAGAAUGCAGUCGUGUCUAAGAGUGGGUAUUUUGUGAUAAUGUUUACUAUAGAUCAUUUGUUAAUUUUGAUGCCUUCAUUUUAGCUAAUUUCAGAAUUUUUAUUAGGUAAUGUCUAGGUCCUGUUCUUUGAGUAUCUUAGAGUGUGUUGAAAGGAUCCGCUGAGCAUUUACAAACAUGGUUUGUAGCUCUAACCCUGAAGUUACUUGGGGACUUUGCUUUGAUUGCCAAGGGAGCUUCUGGUUUCUGAUGCAAUACUAACCAAUAUUGCAUCAUAGUAAUGAAUUAAAGCAUGUAUAUCUGUAGAGCAAGAGAAUUGCUAAUUAUAGUCUGUGUCCAAGUGUUCUUUUCAUAUUUAAAAGCAACCAUUUUUAAUAUUUAAUCACCUAUCAUUAACUUUAUUGAUAAUUGUGUAUGUAUGUAGUCAUGGGGAAUGUUCAGAAAAUAAAAGAAUAUUCUCAAAUGGAAACUGGAGAUAAGCACUGUUAAAAGUUACUGUAACAAACUCCUCUAUAGAAUAAACUUCUUAGACUCUUUGGGAAGCUUCAUGGUAGUGGUCCCAAUGGUCAAGCCUUAUUGCAGGAGAAAAAACCUGAAGUCUGUACAGAUGCCUCAUUAAUGAUAAUGUGUGGUAAGAAGAGAGACGUGAAGAAAUAGGGAGUACCACUAUUACAUUUUAUUAUUGUUUAUCACUACCAAAUGUUAAAUGUAUCUUGUCUGGUCAAUCAUCCUUGUAAAUAAGUUCUCAAUAGGAAAAAAGAGUAAAGCACAGCUUUGCAUUAAUAAACAUAUGCACAGAGGUGAUUCAUUGUAUUCUGAAAUAGUUUUCUUUUUGAAUGAGUGCUUUGGUUCUCUGUUGUGAAGCAACUUUAUAUUGAUCUUCAAUUCUAUUUGUACUUUUAUAAUGUGCAUUAGGGAAAAUGUGUAAGUGGUUUGUAAGUAAAUAGUUUUAUUUCUUUUUGUAUUAAACUUUUGAUUUUUACAUGUUUCUUUUUGAGGAUAUUUUUAUUUGCAUUGUCAGAGUGCUCACAUAAAAAAAGAACU
rnacentral:lncRNA from 1 species